UGCGCAGGUGGUUUUGUAAGUCAGAUGUGAAAGCCCCGGGCUCAACCUGGGAACUGCGUUUGAAACUACAAGACUAGAGUGUGGCAGAGGGGGGUGGAAUUCCGCGUGUAGCAGUGAAAUGCGUAGAGAUGUGGAGGAACACCGAUGGCGAAGGCAGCCCCCUGGGUUAACACUGACGCUCAGGCACGAAAGCAUGGGGAGCAAACAGGAUUAGAUACCCUGGUAGUCC
rnacentral:rRNA from 1 species